CUGGCUCCCUCUUUUGAAGUCUUAAGUAUCAGAUAAUUGGGGGGGGGAAUUUAACUUCGCUAGGGUCAUUACUGUGAUGAUUACCUGCAAAGGCUUUCAAUAAAUUGCAAUAAACCCUGGCUUGUCGCUCCCAGCACAGAGAAGCCAGCUGGCGGCUGAGGGCCCCGUCUGCAGCUCCCCUUUGGAGAGGGGCCUCCUCACAAGCAGCACUGGGGACUCUGCCCAUCAAAGACCCCAUCCGACUCGGCCAAAUAUUUCAGAUUUUUCAUUGUGCGUUUGCAGGUGGGCCUAUCACAAUCUUUGCAUCUCCUGAUCAACAAGUGUUUUUAAGAAAAAUAUGCCAAGUGAUUGUCCUUUACAGAAACAUGUUUUGCUAUGAGAAAAGCCUCCCUAACCAAUCUGAUUUGCAAACCCUCCACAGGACUCUCCAAUUAGGAAUGGAAAAGGCCACAAACAGCCGGCCAUUAGCAGCAGCAGCAGCACCACCACCACCACUCUAAUAGCCUGGCUCUGCAGAUUUUCUUUCCCCUAAAAGACUGUUCAAUUACAGGCUUUGGGUGCACUGGAACCAAAGGGAAAAAGGAUGCCAGAUGUUCUUCAGAUGUCACGCUCACACACCGGCACCAUCGAAACGGCUUCUUUGGGGCCUCCAGGGAGGGAGACAAACCAGGGUCUAGUGAGACGGGAGCCUUCCCUGGUUCCUACCGAGCCUCCUCCAGCAACCGGGGCCUCCGAACUGAAGCCACCCUGAAGGACCCAGAACUGCCCUAAUCUUCGUAUCAUCUGAAGGUCACAACUGCUGAGAAUCCAUCCCUCCCUCCCAGUGAUGACCUUUCUCCAGCUGGAGGCCACCAAGAGGAACAGGCACUUUCCCCGUUUUAUUUCCCCAGAGCGAUGACACCCCCACCACCUCCGCAACCCUCCUGCAAUCGGGGUCCCAAAUGUGCCAAAGCACAGAGAACAUAAAAGGCUGGAAAGCCAAAGGGUGUGUGUGAGGCCUCGGCCCCCCACUCCCUUCUCUCCCCACCCCAGACUGAAAACUCCAGCAACGAUGCCAAAAGCAACUCUGCUCCAUCGUCCCCAACCUUCCCUCCAUCCAUUGUGCAGAAUUUAAAAAACGGAUCUAGAUAUUUUGCAGAGUGACCCGA